GUCGAACGGAUGAAUAAGCUUGCUUAUUUCGUUAGUGGCGCACGGGUGAGUACUUUUUAGCUAACCUGCCCUUUAGUGGGGGACAACAGAUGGAAACCUUUGCUAAUACCCCAUACUCCUGCUUAUCAUAAGGUAAGUUGGGAAAGACUUAUUGCUAAAGGAUGGGGCUUUAUGGUAUCAGCUAGUUGGUGGGGUAACGGCCUACCAAGGCUAUGACGCCUACCUGGUCUGAGAGGAUGAUCAGGCACACUGGAACUGAGACACGGUCCAGACUCCUACGGGAGGCAGCAGUGGGGAAUAUUGCACAAUGGAGGAAACUCUGAUGCAGCAACGCCGCGUGGAGGAUGACGCAUUUCGGUGUGUAAACUCCUUUUAUAAGGGAAGAUAAUGACGGCACUACCUUAUGAAUAAGCACCGGCUAACUCCGUGCCAGCAGCCGCGGUAAUACGGAGGGUGCAAGCGUUACUCGGAAUCACUGGGCGUAAAGGAUGCGUAGGCUGGAAAUCAAGUCGAGAGUGAAAUCCAACGGCUCAACCGUUGAACUGCUCUCGAAACUGGUUACCUAGAAUAUGGGAGAGGUAGAUGGAAUUGGUGGUGUAGGGGUAAAAUCCGUAGAUAUCACCAGGAAUACCGAUUGCGAAGGCGAUCUACUGGAACAUUAUUGACGCUGAGGCAUGAAAGCGUGGGGAGCCAAACAGGAUUAGAUACCCUGGUAGUCCACGCCCUAAACGAUGCACACUAGUUGUUGCGAUGCUAGUCAUUGCAGAAAUGCACUUAACAGAUUAAGUGUGCCGGCUGGGGAGUACGGUCGCCAGAUUAAAA
rnacentral:rRNA from 1 species